UUGCUGUGGUGCUGUCAUGCUGUGACAAUCAAGUUGUUAUAACUAGCGAUUUUUUUCUCUUCUUCAAUCUUAUUAAUUCUGUUCAGUUGAGUUGUUUCCCUUUUCCAUUCAUAUGUUGUACAAUAUUAAUUGAUUGUAAAUUUUCACUAACACACUCACUUAUGAAAUUUAAAGCUACUUGUGGAAGACACCGUAGCACUGAAAAAAGACGUAUAUCUCUAGGAAAUAAUUAUUACGCGUAGACUGCAACUGUAUAUAAUCAAGCAUACUUGCCUUAUGUGGAGUUGAACUGAUUAUAUUUACAACCUUAUGUAAAGCACAAAUUGAACAGGUUCAAUUUGGCAUCCUCACAAGCAUUCAAAACCUAUUAUAUUAGUUUUGGAAUUGAGGGUAAUGAAUGAGAUUUUGUCUCAUUGGAAUA